ACUCAAAUGAAUAGACGGGGGCCCGCACAAGCAGUGGAGCAUGUGGUUUAAUUCGAAGCAACGCGAAGAACCUUACCAGGACUUGACAUCCUGCUGACCAGCCUAGAGAUAGGCUCUCCCUUCGGGGCAGCGGUGACAGGUGGUGCAUGGUUGUCGUCAGCUCGUGUCGUGAGAUGUUGGGUUAAGUCCCGCAACGAGCGCAACCCUUGGAUUGUGUUGCCAUCAUUUAGUUGGGCACUUACAAUCGACUGCCGGUGACAAACCGGAGGAAGGCGGGGAUGACGUCAAAUCAUCAUGCCCCUUAUGUCCUGGGCUACACACGUGCUACAAUGGGCGGUACAAAGGGUUGCGAAGCCGCGAGGCGGAGCCAAUCCCAGAAAGCCGUUCGUAGUUCGGAUUGCAGGCUGCAACUCGCCUGCAUGAAGCCGGAAUUGCUAGUAAUCGCGGAUCAGCAUGCCGCGGUGAAUUCGUUCCCGGGCCUUGUACACACCGCCCGU
rnacentral:rRNA from 1 species